UACGAAGGGGGCUAGCGUUGCUCGGAAUUACUGGGCGUAAAGGGCGCGUAGGCGGCACUGUUAGUCAGGCGUGAAAGUCCUGGGCUCAACCUGGGAACUGCGCUUGAUACGGCAGAGCUAGAGGAUGGAAGAGGCUCGCGGAAUUCCCGGUGUAGCGGUGAAAUGCGCAGAUAUCGGGAGGAACACCGGUGGCGAAGGCGGCAUCCUGGACCGACACUGACACUGAGGAGCGAAAGCCAGGGGAGCAAACGGG
rnacentral:rRNA from 1 species